GGUUGCAGUAAGUCUGGAUGCCACAUCAAACUGUUUGUGGUACUUCUAAACUUUGUGGAAGAGCCCUGUUUCAUAAAUCUGAGACAGCCUUGGUCUGAGGGGGCAAAGACAGAGAAUUCACGUGCUGCCCAGGCAUAGCCACAUAGCAGGUGUACAUCCCUGGACACUUUUCUGACCCUCAUUGGAUUUUCCUGGAAGUACAGAGAGUUACAUCCAGAGAACUCUGAACAUUUUGGAAGGACCUCAAUCCUGCAAACAAUGAAUGGCAAUAAAUCCUGGGACUGGAAAGGGGCUUCUCAACCCCAAGGGCAACCAUAAAGUCCUAUACAAAGAAAGAUACAGCAGUGUGAAAGAGGCCUGGAUGGAAAAACAAAGACAGAGCCAGUGAGCCAGAGCCAGAGCCAGAGAACAAGAGAGAAAGGCAGAGAAUGGAAAACACAGACAGAGAAGGCAGAUGCAUAGAGAGACAGAGAUUCGAUGAGAAAAUAAGGAAGGAAGAAAGAAAGAGAACAAAAACGUUCUCAGCACUACAACUUCUGCCUUGUUCUGUUCCAGAACAGUAUGAGCUCAGUAGUUUUUCAGUCUCUCAAUUUUCUACAACUAAUAAUUUGUUCUUUCAGUUAGUGGCAAAGACUUAACAACAAAGGUUCAUCUUUAAUAUUAGAGAGGCACUUUUAAAAUUUAUGAUGCUAAGCCUUUUGUUCUGGAUAUGGUAUGUUGCACAGGUCUAGGGACUGGGAUUUCAGGUGUCUAGUCCAUACCCUUAUUCUUUUAUUUAUUAAAUCUUUUAGUGUGUAUUGUUUUCUUUUUUCUCUUCUUUUAUUAGUAUGUAUUUCUUGAGUCAUUAACAUACAACAUAUAUAGGACUUCCUCUGAGGAUACAAUAAUGUAUAUGAUGGACAAGAUAUGUAAAAGUGCCUUGAAGAGACUUAGUCUUGUGAGGGGACAGACAGGAAAUGGGCAAUUAUCACCUAACUUAGGUCUUUGGUUUCAAGGUAAAAUAAGAAUAAUAACAUCUGUGUUCGCUGGGAUGUUGUGAGUGUUUGUGGAGAUAAUAGUACAAAUGAAAUUACUGAGGGACAAUGGUGAAGAUACGGCCGUAUCAUGGAGCUUACAUUAGUGAUGGAAGGAGAUGGGAGAUACAAAAGCAAGACAAUAUUUCAGAUUUCAUAAAUGAAUGGCAAGCAUAGAGUGGUGAGGCAGAGAAUGACUGGAGAGACUAUGCUAAACUGGUAGUAAAGGAAGAGCAGGACCCUACUAAACUAUAUGGAGUUUUGUGCAAAUCACAUGAACACACGUAGAACAUUUUAGGCUGCUCAUGUGACUUUGGAUUUGUCCUAAGGGCAAUGGUAAGCCUUUGAAGGGCUUUAGCAUGAUAGGAUUUUAAAAGAUCAUUGGCUGCUGUGUGAACAAAAAUAAUGUUGUAAAGAAAAGGAUAUGAGCUUUAUCCGGAGAUCAACUGGAGACUAUUGAAAUAACCCAAGCUGGCUUGAACUACAUAGAGCAGUGUAAACUCAUUCAUUCAUGCAAGAAAUACUUAUUGAGUGCCUACUCAGUACCAGACCCUUUUCUAGGACAUGGAGUUACAGCAGUGAACAAUAUAGAAAAAAAUCCCCUAAUUCAUGGAGAGGGCAGAGACAAAAAAAAUAGCAACUAAAUAAGUAAAAAGGAAUUGAGUACCCUAUAAAAAUUUAUCAGGGAAAUGUUAUAAGGAAUGCCUUUCGGAGUAAUGGGUAGUGAUCUUAAAUGUAUGGUCAAUGAAAAUUAGAAGUUGUAGAGAAGUGGAUAAAUUCACAGUACGUUUUAAAGUAGACCUAAUAAGACUUAAUGAAUUUGAUGUGGCAAGUGAGAAAAAUACAUCAAGGAUGAUGACUUUUAUAAUUUGACUUGAGUAUCUGGGAACAAACAAGUACAGUGACAUAAUAAGGGCAGAAAAUUUUCCAGUCACCCAGCAACUUAUUAACUCAUUUGCUUAGUCUUUAUUGCCUCUUGUAUUAUAUAGUUUUCACUUUGCUGGAGUACUUGUAUAGAAGAUCACCAGUGAAGAAGCCAGAGAUGACUUAUUUGGUUAUCCCAAUAAUACAUCUUAUUGUUAAUUAACUCUCAAGGGUUUUUUUUUCACAAUUUUAGGAAAGUUUUAAGCAAAUGAAUUAUUUAACAUAAAUUGGCUAUGUGACCCUACUCUAAGGUGUUUAAAACACCAACAGCUUAAACUUCUUAGAUCAAAGGACAUCCUCCAGGCCAAAAUGUUUCUACUGGAACGGUUUCUUUGCUUCCUGAUUAAAAGCUUCCCUAAUAUAUUUCCAUGUGUUAUUACAUAUUUGCGUAUUCACUUUGAUGGAAAGCAAGAAUAGCAGCCAAAUACAUAUUUCAUGCAUUCUUUUGAUUAAAAAUGAUAAAGG